rnacentral:lncRNA from 1 species
GAACAUGUUUCUGUUGCUUUAAACCGCUCGGUUGUGGGAGCCAUUUGUUGUAACAGCUGCAGGUCGCACGCACUCCCCACACACUGCACUCCCCACACACUGCACUCCCCACACACUGCACUCCUCACACACUGCACUCCUCACACACGCACUCCCCACACACUGCACUCCCCACACACUGCACUCCUCACACACUGCACUCCCCACACACUGCACUCCCCACACACUGCACUCCUCACACACUGCACUCCUCACACACGCACUCCCCACACACUACACUCCUCACACACUGCACUCCGCACACACUGCACUCCCCACACACUGCACUCCCCACACACUGCACUCCUCACACACGCACUCCCCACACACUGCACUCCCCACACACUGCACUCCUCACACACUGCACUCCCCACACACUGCACUCCCCACACACUGCACUCCCCACACACUGCACUCCUCACACACGCACUCCUCACACACUGCACUCCUCACACACUGCACUCCUCACACACUGCACUCCUCACACACGCACUCCUCACACACUGCACUCCUCACACACUGCACUCCUCACACACGCACUCCUCACACACUGCACUCCCCACACACUGCACUCCCCACACACUGCACUCCCCACACACUGCACUCCUCACACACGCACUCCCCACACACUGCACUCCCCACACACUGCACUCCCCACACACUGCACUCCCCACACACUGCACUCCUCACACACGCACUCCUCACACACUGCACUCCUCACACACUGCACUCCCCACACACUGCACUCCCCACACACUGCACUCCCCACACACUGCACUCCUCACACACGCACUCCUCACACACUGCACUCCCCACACACUGCACUCCCCACACACUGCACUCCUCACACACUGCACUCCCAGCUACACCCGCCCUAAUGCCCUUCUUGUUCUUCCCACACUCACCCUGAUUCAGGUGUCCUAUUCAGCUCCUCUCUCUGACUUAUCAACUGUGGCAGAAGAAAAGAAAGAUUUCUUUUUAAAGAAAGUACAGGGACUUCCCUGGUGGUCUCGUGGUUGA